GACGAACCGUCCUAACGUUGUUCGGAAUCACUGGGCUUAAAGGGCGCGUAGGCGGGCGACCAAGUCCGGGGUGAAAUCUUUCGGCUUAACCGGAAAAUAGCCUUGGAUACUGGUUGUCUCGAGGGAGGUAGGGGCCGUUGGAACUUCCGGUGGAGCGGUGAAAUGCGUUGAUAUCGGAAGGAACGCCGGUGGCGAAAGCGAACGGCUGGACCUCUUCUGACGCUGAGGCGCGACAGCGUGGGGAGCAAACGGG
rnacentral:rRNA from 1 species